rnacentral:lncRNA from 1 species
CCCAAGGCUCAGAGGCAAGAACAUGUGUUCAGAGGCAAAAUGAUAUUGGAAACCAGUUACAGCCAAGAAGGUAAAAUUGUGUUCUACUUUCCUUUAGAAUCUGUGGGAUCUCUUAGAUGUUUCCUGCAAGUGUCAGAUUUUGAUGUCCCAUGUGAAGUCGCCAAAUUGAAAUUCAUGGUAACAGCAAGGUAACACUAAGAUGAGGAGAGAAGCAAAAGAGCUGCUUUUGAAUCUGAAGAUAGAAGCAGCAAAUCCCAUGGGGAUCCUGAACAAGGAAAGGAGACCCUGCCUAAUAGCUUCCGAGGUGGCGGCCGAGUAUCCACAGUUGGGGGACUGGAGAGAGUGGCAUUUCCUUCCACUGAGUCUACGACACAGAAGCAAAUCGAGUGGCUUUUUCUCAACAAUUUCAGAUCUAUGCACCCCAGGCCCUGGGGAGCCGCCCGGAAGGAGCAUGAGCUAUUUUGACUUGGAAUGCGGCAAGCUAGGCCAAGGAAGUUGGAGCCAAGAGAUACAGUGUCCAGCAAGACACCCGAGAGAGAGCAUUUCCCUCCAAACCAGGCCUGUGAGGAACCAAAGAGGCAAGCAGCAUAGUGGACCAUCUGCAGCACGACCCUAGAAAGUCUGCCUCAUUGCAGUGUUUCUGGAGUGUGGAGGGCUAAGCCAUUCUCUCAGGGAAGGGGAUGAACUGGCCAUUGGCUUGAGAAGUGUUUCCCUGACUUGCCCUUAGCCUAACUGAUCCCCCCAACUAAGAUUCUUACCCUCCAGCUCCAGUGAUCCCAUUUUAUGAUCCAUUCUCUUUCCCUAAGAAAGCACCCAGAUUCUCUCCUCUUACCCACCCCCUGACAUCUGAUGACUGCUUCACAUUUUCAGGCUAUUCUACCCUUUUAUCCUCAGCCUGGUCCUAAGAAUGCAGAAAAUAGUCAAUAAAUGCUGGUUGAAGAAGCAUACAUAUGAUUAUUAUAUAGUACAGUGUUAGUACUUGGUUUAUUCAUUCACUCAUUUAAUUAAAAUUUUGGAGUACCAACUCUAUAACAGGUGUUGCAUUCAUCAGUAAAUAAAUAGACAGUGUUCACCCG